rnacentral:rRNA from 1 species
AAAGCGUGCGCAGGCGGUUCGGAAAGAAGGAUGUGAAAUCCCAGGGCUUAACCUUGGAACUGCAUUCUUAACUACCGGGCUAGAGUAUGUCAGAGGGGGGUGGAAUUCCGCGUGUAGCAGUGAAAUGCGUAGAUAUGCGGAGGAACACCGAUGGCGAAGGCAGCCCCCUGGGAUAAUACUGACGCUCAUGCACGAAAGCGUGGGGAGCAAACAGGAUUAGAUACCCUGGU